rnacentral:rRNA from 1 species
CCUACGGGUGGCAGCAGUGGGGAAUAUUGCACAAUGGGGGAAACCCUGCUGCAGCGACGCCGCGUGAGUGAAGAAGUAAUUCGUUAUGUAAAGCUCUAUCAGCAGGGAAGAAAAUGACGGUACCUGUGUCAGUAGCCCCGGCUAACUACGUGCCAGCAGCCGCGGUAAGACGCAGGGUUCAAGCGUUAUCCGGAUUUACUGGGUGUAAAGGGAGUGUAGACGGCAGUGCAAGUCUGGAGUGAAAGGCGGGGGCUCAACCCCCGGACUGCUCUGGAAACUGUACGGCUGGAGUGCAGGAUAGGGAAGUGGAAUUCCUAGUGUAGCGGUGAAAUGCGUAGAUAUUAGGAGGAACACCAGUGGCGAAGGCGGCUUACUGGACUGUAACUGACGUUGAGGCUCGAAAGCGUGGGGAGCAAACAGGAUUAGAUACCCGUGUAGUC